rnacentral:rRNA from 1 species
AGGAGAGGCCAUACCACCCUGAAUGUACCUGAUCUCGACUGAUCUCAGAAGCUAAGCAGGGUCAGGCCUGGUUAGUACUUGGAUAGGAGAAUAAUUAAUUUCUAAUA